GUCAUUUUAUAUGGCUGGCGAUAGAUCAUUCAAGUUUCUGACCUAUCAGCUUUCGACGGUAGUGUAUUGGACUACCGUGGCAGUGACGGGUAACGGGGAAUUAGGGUUCGAUUCCGGAGAGGGAGCCUGAGAAACGGCUACCACAUCUAAGGAAGGCAGCAGGCGCGCAAAUUACCCAAUCCUGACUCAGGGAGGUAGUGACAAGAAAUAACAACACUGGAAAUUUUAUUUCUAGUGAUUGGAAUGAUGGGAAUUUAAACCCCUUUCAGAGUAACAAUUGGAGGGCAAGUCUGGUGCCAGCAGCCGCGGUAAUUCCAGCUCCAAUAGCGUAUAUUAAAGUUGUUGCAGUUAAAAAGCUCGUAGUUGGAUGUCUGCUGGAAGCAAUCAGUCCGCCCUAUUUGUAGGGUGUGCACUUGAUGAAUUCUGGCAUCUAUAUCCCAAUAAUAUGAUGGUGUAUACCCUGUGUACACCCAUCUAUAUUGGGAUAAUACCGUUACUUUGAGAAAAUUAGAGUGUUUGAAGCAGGCUAAUUGCCUUGAAUACUGCAGCAUGGAAUAACAAUAUAGGAUUUCGGUUCUAUUUUGUUGGUUUCUAGGACUGAAAUAAUGAUUAAUAGGGACAGUUGGGGGCAUUCGUAUUUAACUGUCAGAGGUGAAAUUCUUAGAUUUGUUAAAGACGAACUACUGCGAAAGCAUUUGCCAAAGAUGUUUUCAUUAAUCAAGAACGAAAGUUAGGGGCUCGAAGACGAUCAGAUACCGUCGUAGUCUUAACCAUAAACUAUGCCGACUAGAGAUAGGA
rnacentral:rRNA from 1 species